AGAGUUUGAUCCUGGCUCAGGAUGAACGCUAGCGACAGGCUUAACACAUGCAAGUCGAGGGGCAGCACGGUGUAGCAAUACACUGGUGGCGACCGGCGCACGGGUGAGUAACACGUGUGCAACCAACCCCGUACCGGGAGAUAACCCGCGGAAACGUGGACUAACAUCCCAUGACACUCGAGAGCCGCAUGGCUCUAGAUUUAAAAUUCCGGUGGUACGGGACGGGCACGCGCGACAUUAGGUAGUUGGCGGGGUAACGGCCCACCAAGCCGACGAUGUCUAGGGGUUCUGAGAGGAAGGUCCCCCACACUGGAACUGAGACACGGUCCAGACUCCUACGGGAGGCAGCAGUGAGGAAUAUUGGUCAAUGGGCGAGAGCCUGAACCAGCCAAGUCGCGUGAGGGAUGAAUGGUCCAUGGCCUGUAAACCUCUUUUGUCAAGGAAGAAUAAAAGGUACGUGUACCUUCUUGCCAGUACUUGACGAAUAAGCAUCGGCUAACUCCGUGCCAGCAGCCGCGGUAAUACGGGGGAUGCGAGCGUUAUCCGGAUUUAUUGGGUUUAAAGGGCGCGUAGGCGGGACGGCAAGUCAGCGGUAAAAGACUGCAGCUAAACUGUAGCACGCCGUUGAAACUGUUGACCUAGAGACGAGACGAGGGAGGCGGAACAAGUGAAGUAGCGGUGAAAUGCAUAGAUAUCACUUGGAACCCCGAUAGCGAAGGCAGCUUCCCAGGCUCGUUCUGACGCUGAUGCGCGAGAGCGUGGGUAGCGAACAGGAUUAGAUACCCUGGUAGUCCACGCCGUAAACGAUGCUCACUGGAUCUUGGCGAUACACGGCCAGGGUUCAAGCGAAAGUAUUAAGUGAGCCACCUGGGGAGUACGUCGGCAACGAUGAAACUCAAAGGAAUUGACGGGGGCCCGCACAAGCGGAGGAACAUGUG
rnacentral:rRNA from 1 species